GAUGAACGCUGGCGGCGUGCCUAAUACAUGCAAGUCGAGCGAACAGACGAGGAGCUUGCUCCUCUGACGUUAGCGGCGGACGGGUGAGUAACACGUGGAUAACCUACCUAUAAGACUGGGAUAACUUCGGGAAACCGGAGCUAAUACCGGAUAAUAUAUUGAACCGCAUGGUUCAAUAGUGAAAGACGGUUUUGCUGUCACUUAUAGAUGGAUCCGCGCCGCAUUAGCUAGUUGGUAAGGUAACGGCUUACCAAGGCGACGAUGCGUAGCCGACCUGAGAGGGUGAUCGGCCACACUGGAACUGAGACACGGUCCAGACUCCUACGGGAGGCAGCAGUAGGGAAUCUUCCGCAAUGGGCGAAAGCCUGACGGAGCAACGCCGCGUGAGUGAGGAAGGUCUUCGGAUCGUAAAACUCUGUUAUUAGGGAAGAACAAAUGUGUAAGUAACGAUGCACGUCUUGACGGUACCUAAUCAGAAAGCCACGGCUAACUACGU
rnacentral:rRNA from 1 species